UGAAAGCCUCGCUUACUUUUUAGAGAAGUAUAUCCAAUAAUAUCAUGAAUUAUGAAAUGCCCAAAUCAUAUUUGAAUUUCCAGUUACUUAUAAAGUAGUCAAAAGCACUCCAUGGCAAGUCAUUUUUAUAUAUGAAGCUUUUAAAAAAGAUCCCGUUAUUUUGACACCCUAUAUUUGACACUCAUUUGACACUGUCACGUGUCUACGUGCUAUUGGGUAUUUUGAUUUUUUUUUUUUUUCAAAAAUUUGGCCUGAAAAAUGUAGAGGUUUUCAGAGAAUUUGGAUUCCUAUUCUACCCCACGGCAUUUUCAGUGUGACAGAUUACUUCUCUCUCACAUUUGGUCGUCUCCCAUCAUGGUCUCCCGUACUCGCUUACACUUUCGUCGUCUCCAGUGCUCUCCAGUGCUCUGAAAUGGCAAGUUCCGGAUUGGACCUUCGUUGGACCAAGUUGAGCGUGCGUCAUUCAUUUUCAACUAUGUAUACUAGCACUCUCAACGAACGGUUGACAGAGGAGCAAAGGGAAGUCAUCUCCAAGACUCCAUGUUUUUUUUGUUUUUAGAGUUCAGUGGUAAAUUCAUAUUCAAUACUAAACUUUUGCGUGAGUUAACCAAGACAUGGGUGGAUUCGACCAACUCUUUUAUUAUUGCAGAGAAGCAUUUCAAUAUCAAUGAAAAUGAUUUUUGUUCAGGAAUAGGAUUGAGUUUAGAUGGUGACAAUAUAAACUUGAAGCAUUCUUCAGUGGGUAAUAGUAAAUGUGUGAAUGUCUUAGAGGCAGAGUUGGAGGCAGAGAAGGGCAGAACAACACCUAAAAGGUCAACUGCAGAUGAUGGUGUCCAAAGUGCAGGAUGUCCACCACCAUUUAGUGAUGAUGCAUUUGUUUCACUUGUUGGAGUGUCGACCGAGGAAGUGGGUGGAAUGUGCAAGAAUGAAGAACGUGCAAUGUCCGCAAAUGCACCGGGUGGAAUGUCCAACAACCAAUCAGAGCUGAAGCAUUAUGUUAGGAUUGGUUCAAGAAGGCGAUUUAAGAGCCAAGCACUUAGGACACCAUACACAAGAAAUGUAGUAGUUAGGAAGACAAAUGAGUAACUAUUGUACUAGACUUCAGUGUUAGGACAAGAAAAAGAUCGUGUAAUUAUAAUAUUUGGUUCAAUAUAUAGAACAAUAAUCUUUGUUUCA